rnacentral:misc_RNA from 1 species
GAUUGAAGAACGCAGCGAAAUGCGAUACGUAAUGUGAAUUGCAGAAUUCAGUGAAUCAUCGAGUCUUUGAACGCACAUUGCGCCCUCUGGUAUUCCGGAGGGCAUGCCUGUCCGAGCGUCAUUGCUGCCCUCAAGCACGGCUUGUGUGUUGGGCUCCGUCCCCCGAUCCCGGGGGACGGGCCCGAAAGGCAGCGGCGGCACCGCGUCCGGUCCUCGAGCGUAUGGGGCUUUGUCACCCGCUCUGUAGGCCCGGCCGGCGCUUGCCGAUCAACCAAAUUUUUAUCCAGGUUGACCUCGGAUCAGGUAGGGAUACCCGCUGAACUUAAGCAUAUCAAUAAGCGGAGGA